AUAUCUAUUUAAAAUACAAGUCUAUUUGAAAUUGAUAUCUGAUAUGUGAUUAAAAUUUAGAAAAUGGUUUCACAGAUGACUAGUGUAUUGGAAGAUGUCUAUGUCUUUAAAUGUUAAUAUUUUCAGUACUCAUAUCAAUUAAAACUGACUGUCUAACAAAACUCAUUUGACAUCUAAGAAACAACGUAACGACCAUGUUGUCUGUCUAAAUUUCUAAGUUUUAAUAGGAGUUCUUAUUUGGCACUUGUUUCCCUCAGCGUAAUAAAACUGGCACACACUUGCAGAACAACUAUAUGCUUUUUCACAAGGAUUAUUUCCAGAACCGGUGUCUGCUCAACGAAAGCUAGUAUCCCUGUCUCUGUGAAGUUGGCAGAUAGUAGAAUAACAUCAGCAGAAUCGCGGAAUAGCAGAAUAACUGCAGCAGAAAAGCAGAAUAACUGCAGCAGAGUAGCAGAACACCUUUAGCAUAAUAGAAGAAUAACUGCAACAGAAUAGCAGAAUAACUCCAACAGGAUAGCAGAAUAACUCCAGUCGAAUAGCAGAAUAGUAGAAUAACUCCAGCAGAAUAGAAGAAUAACUCCAGCAGAAUAGAAGAAUAACUGCAACAGAAUAGCAGAAUAACUCCAGCAGAAUAGCAGAAUAACUGCAUAGCAGAAUAACUGCAGCUGAAUAGCAAAAUAACUCCAACAGAAUAGCAGAAUAACUCCAGCAGAAUAGCAGAAUAACUCCAGUCGAAUAGCAGAAUAAUAGAAUAACUCCUGGUGGAUAGCAGAAUAACAGAAUAACUCCAGCAGAAUAGCAGAAUAAUUCCAGCAGAAUAAAACAAUAGCAGAACAACUACAGCAGAAUAGCAUGCUUUACAUGAUCUCAAAGUUUUGGUUACCAAUAAGAAAUGUAAUAACACACAUUCUGAAAACAGUUAUAGGAGGUAAUCUUCGUAUUUCAAAGCGAUAAAAUGACAUACUAAAAUGAUUAAACAGUCAUGAAAGCAAUAAUGGUAACAUGUGUGUCGCAAAAAGAGUCUUAGGCUAAUGUUAAUUGUGCGAGGUAAUAUGCGAGAAGUAUAAAGUAUAAAGACGGUCUUAAAGUUGUUCUUUUAACUGACAAUGGUUUUCUAACAAAUAAUAAUGGGAACAUGUUUACCGCAAAAAUAGUCUGAGGCUAAUGUUAAUUUCCACAAAAAUGCGAGGUCAAAUGAAAAAGAAAAUCGUUUAGCAUUUUUGUCUUUUUAAUGUUGUUCUACUAUUCUGCUAUUUUGCUGGAGUUGUUCUGCUAUUCUGCUGUUCUGCUAGAGUUAUUCUGUUAUUCUGCUGGAGGUAUUCUGCUGUUCUACUGGAUGUUCUGCUGGAGUUUUUUUGCUAUUCUGCUAACUUCACAGAGACAGUAUCCCUCGCAAUUUUUACAGGGUUAGCAUCAGCAUGAAAUGGAAACUCAAUAGGAGUUGUGCAAUUAAUUUUCAUCAAUGACCUGAUAGAAUAUCGAUGAAACAUCGAUCUGUCCUCAGGGCCUUGACUUUCAAUCACAAAAGGACUGUCAAACAAGAAAACUGUUAGGCAUAGCUCGGUCAAAGUUUUGGUAAUUAUACUUACUCACGCUGAAACUGUGGGUAAAUUGAUUAUUCUCUUAUCUCAGAUAACUGAUAACAUAAAACUAAAAGCAUAAAUAGGUUUAAGGUAUAUAUUUGGCAGUAAAUAUCGCGAAAAAUAUAUCGCGCAGUAAAUAAUCAACAAUACAAAAUGUCAAAUUUUUGUUGUCCUCGACUUUGCCCUAAUCUCUUGAUAUGACUCAGUUGUGACUGCAAAAAUCUGAAACGACACUAAUAUACAUGUGGAAAUCAUGUUAAAAUAUAGAUGCAAUAGAAUAAAAUAGCUAUUUUACAUCUAUUGUGCAACAACGCAAGAUAUUUUUGACAUUUCACUUUAAAAUAGGGAAAUGAUGAUGAUAAAUGGUUCCCUCUUAUGGAAAGCCUCAAACAAAUUUACCAAAUUAUCAAAUUUAAUUUGGAGAGAGGCUUGGCAUUAAUUUGCUGCUAAAUGUUAACCGUGAGUGGAGAUUAAGCGCGAAAAACCCCAUAUAUAUACUGACAGAAAUACACGAAAUGUUCGUGCAAAUAUUCGCCAAAAUAUAUACAAUAUAAAUCAUAGAUAAUAAAUGAAUAAUAAAACUAAUGAAGGAUAGUUAGUUCCGAAGCGAUAAUAAUUACAUGUAAUUUAGAUAAGCACCCGAUACAGAGAUUGAUAAAUGUAGAAUAGACGCACGUAGAUUAGUACUUGUUAUUAUAGAUCUCUCAAAAUCAAGUGAACUGUAUUCAAUGUAAAAUAUUAAUUUAGAAUAAUGUUAGAAUGAAAAUGAAGAGCGUUUUGAAAAAUGACAAAUAUGGCACUCAUGCUUGUGUCCAUUAUGCAAUAUGUACUGUAGUAUAGAACAAUAUGUUGAUAUACAAAUAACGCGUUGUCGGUCAUGAAGCAAUUGCAAAACAGGAUGUAAUUUGCUUAUUUAUUGCGUCAGUCCAAGUGUUCCAAUACAAUGUCCAGGAAAUGGUACAUUAUGUCAAAUCAAGAGAAUUAUAUAUAAGCGUCAUGUAUGAUAUAUAAACGACUCACAUACAGUAUAAAUUCUAUAAACUACAAAGUUUUACAGGAAUACACAGUUUAACUAAGGUAAAUUAAAGGUCAGACGAUUUGAAAUUAGAAUCGAAUAAAAAGCGAGUGAAUAUGGCUACAAGAUUGAUUUAUCUACUUCUGGCUGCACUACUUAUAAGCGAGUUUGCCCCGGUAACUAGCCGAUUAUGUAAACGUCGAGGGAACCGAUGCAUCAGUAAUGGGUGUUCAAGGAGACCCAAUUUUAGUUGUUUACGAGUAGGCAGAACGUGUCGAUGCCGUAGUCCUUACAUUGUAGGAAGUCCAGCACCUUUUCUACCACAUCACUCCAACAACCAAGCUUAAUAGACCGAUUGAAGUCAAGAACGAGAAAAAUAUCCCCAUGUAACUAUAAGGAGAGUGCAACAAUGUGCUUGUGCAUUGGAUACAUCUGUAGGAAUAGUUAUUAGAAUUUAAAAACUUUUUAACAUUAAAAAUAAUUUUAAGAUGUGUAGAUAAUGUUUUAGUAAAUGCUGUGAAAGUAUGUGGUGUAAAAUGUCAACGACAGAACUGGAACUAAUCUUGUUGCAACACAAAUUAUGUUCGGACAUAAAUAGCGGCUGUAAGUGCGUACUUAAAACUAUCCGAACGAAACAGUUGGCUUUAUUUCACAAUAUGAUUGUUGUCAACAUAGAAACAAUUAAAAAAGCAAACUU